rnacentral:rRNA from 1 species
AUUGAACGCUGGCGGCAUGCCUUACACAUGCAAGUCGAACGGCAGCACGGGAGCUUGCUCCUGGUGGCGAGUGGCGAACGGGUGAGUAAUGCAUCGGAACGUGCCCUGAAGUGGGGGAUAACGUAGCGAAAGUUACGCUAAUACCGCAUAUUCUGUGAGCAGGAAAGCAGGGGAUCUACGGACCUUGCGCUUUUGGAGCGGCCGAUGUCGGAUUAGCUAGUUGGUGGGGUAAAGGCCCACCAAGGCGACGAUCCGUAGCGGGUCUGAGAGGAUGAUCCGCCACACUGGAACUGAGACACGGUCCAGACUCCUACGGGAGGCAGCAGUGGGGAAUUUUGGACAAUGGGCGAC